rnacentral:rRNA from 1 species
GAGGAAAGAGGGAGGCGUGCCUAAUACAUGCAAGUCGAGCGAACGGACGAGAAGCUUGCUUCUCUGAUGUUAGCGGCGGACGGGUGAGUAACACGUGGAUAACCUACCUAUAAGACUGGGAUAACUUCGGGAAACCGGAGCUAAUACCGGAUAAUAUUUUGAACCGCAUGGUUCAAAAGUGAAAGACGGUCUUGCUGUCACUUAUAGAUGGAUCCGCGCUGCAUUAGCUAGUUGGUAAGGUAACGGCUUACCAAGGCAACGAUGCAUAGCCGACCUGAGAGGGUGAUCGGCCACACUGGAACUGAGACACGGUCCAGACUCCUACGGGAGGCAGCAGUAGGGAAUCUUCCGCAAUGGGCGAAAGCCCGACGGAGCAACGCCGCGUGAGUGAUGAAGGUCUUCGGAUCGUAAAACUCUGUUAUUAGGGAAGAACAUAUGUGUAAGUAACUGUGCACAUCUUGACGGUACCUAAUCAGAAAGCCACGGCUAACUACGUG